rnacentral:rRNA from 1 species
UACGGGGGGGGCAAGCGUUGUUCGGAAUUACUGGGCGUAAAGGGCUGGUAGGCGGCCAACUAAGUCGGAUGUGAAAUCCCCAGGCUUAACCUGGGAACUGCAUCCGAUACUGGUCGGCUUGAAUCCGGGAGAGGGAUGCAGAAUUCCAGGUGUAGCGGUGAAAUGCGUAGAUAUCUGGAGGAAUACCGGUGGCGAAGGCGGCGACCUGGUCCUAUACUGACACUCAUACACGAAAGCGUGGGGAUCAAACAGG